UCUGGCAAUGUGAUACCUUGUGUUGCUGAAGCCACCACCAAGGAAGACCUUCACAUGUUCCCUGGACUUUGGACUGCUCGACCUUAGAAACUACAUUGUUAGACCUGGGAACCAGACAGACCUGUAUCUGCGGCCAUGGAGAAUGCUGGUGUGGAGAAGUUGACUUUGGCAGUUCCUAAGAAGGAAGUUGAACCAACUUGGGAUGAUGCAAAUACUAUUACUAUACCUUCCAUCAGCUAGAGAAGAAAAUUCUGCCGAAGACCUGGGAUCAGGUCACUUUUGUUCUGCUCAAGCUCUUUCUUCAGGGGUACUCUGGCUUUUAUUGGAGCAUGGCACUGAUAAGGCAGCCAGGAGACCCUCAGCCGCUGCAGACACAGCCCUGUUGGCAUACACCCCCACCCUCUGCUGAAGGAGUCUUAUGAAGAAAUGUCAGCAAACUAAAAAGGGAAGACAAAGUAAACAAAACCUGAGAUACAGACUUGCCAGACGAUGGGAGAAAAAUGUAGAGGCUGAAUGUAAUUUAAGACAGAGUAUUAAAAGUGUAUCUACACAAUGGAAUACUACUGUGCUAUAAAAAAAAAUGAAA